UGGGGAAUAUUGCACAAUGGGCGAAAGCCUGAUGCAGCGACGCCGCGUGAGGGAUGACGGCCUUCGGGUUGUAAACCUCUUUCAGCAGGGAAGAAGCGAAAGUGACGGUACCUGCAGAAGAAGCGCCGGCUAACUACGUGCCAGCAGCCGCGGUAAUACGUAGGGCGCAAGCGUUGUCCGGAAUUAUUGGGCGUAAAGAGCUCGUAGGCGGCUUGUCACGUCGAUUGUGAAAGCCCGAGGCUUAACCUCGGGUCUGCAGUCGAUACGGGCUAGCUAGAGUGUGGUAGGGGAGAUCGGAAUUCCUGGUGUAGCGGUGAAAUGCGCAGAUAUCAGGAGGAACACCGGUGGCGAAGGCGGAUCUCUGGGCCAUUACUGACGCUGAGGAGCGAAAGCGUGGGGAGCGAACAGG
rnacentral:rRNA from 2 species